GUGGGGAAUAUUGGACAAUGGGCGAAAGCCUGAUCCAGCCAUGCCGCGUGUGUGAAGAAGGUCUUCGGAUUGUAAAGCACUUUAAGUUGGGAGGAAGGGCAGUAAGUUAAUACCUUGCUGUUUUGACGUUACCGACAGAAUAAGCACCGGCUAACUUCGUGCCAGCAGCCGCGGUAAUACGAAGGGUGCAAGCGUUAAUCGGAAUUACUGGGCGUAAAGCGCGCGUAGGUGGUUUUGUAAGUUGGAGGUGAAAUCCCCGGGCGCAACCUGGGAACUGCCUACAAAACUGCAUGACUAGAGUACGGUAGAGGGUAGUGGAAUUUCCUGUGUAGCGGUGAAAUGCGUAGAUAUAGGAAGGAACACCAGUGGCGAAGGCGACUACCUGGACUGAUACUGACACUGAGGUGCGAAAGCGUGGGGAGCAAACAGGAUUAGAAACCCCUGUAGUCC
rnacentral:rRNA from 1 species